GACGAACGCUGGCGGCGUGCUUAACACAUGCAAGUCGAACGGAAAGGCCCCUUUGGGGGUACUCGAGUGGCGAACGGGUGAGUAACACGUGAGUAACCUGCCCUUGACUUCGGGAUAACUUCAGGAAACUGGGGCUAAUACCGGAUAGGAAUCCUUGCUGCAUGGUGGGGGUUGGAAAGCUUCGGCGGUUUUGGAUGGACUCGCGGCUUAUCAGCUUGUUGGUGGGGUAGUGGCUUACCAAGGCUUUGACGGGUAGCCGGCCUGAGAGGGCGACCGGCCACAUUGGGACUGAGAUACGGCCCAGACUCCGACGGGAGGCAGCAGUGGGGAAUAUUGCACAAGGGGCGGAAGCCGGAUGCAGCAACGCCGCGUGCGGGAGGACGGCCUUCGGGUUGGAAACCGCUUUCAGCAGGGGCGAAGCUUGUGGUGACGGUACCUGCAGAAGAAGCACCGGCUAACUACGUG
rnacentral:rRNA from 1 species